rnacentral:rRNA from 1 species
GACAGAGGUGGCGAGCGUUGUUCGGAAUUACUGGGCUUAAAGGGCGAGUAGGCGGUGGAGCAAGUCUGUUGUGGAAUCCUGCGGCUUAACCGCAGAACUGCGAUAGAAACUGUUUCACUUGAGUCAGUGAGGGGAGGGCGGAAUUCCUGGUGUAGCGGUGAAAUGCGUAGAUAUCAGGAGGAAGGCCUGUGGCGAAGGCGGCCCUCUGGCACUGUACUGACGCUGAGGCGCGAAAGCGUGGGGAGCAAACAGG